AGACUUGAGAGAAAGGGAAGACCGAGAAUGACUCUACAAGGGUCAAUGUACAGGACAUUAAACCAGUGUGUGCAAGAUGGAGAAGCCAACACAGAUGACCUUACGACUCUGGAUAGGAAAGCCCUCUUACAGCAAGGUUAUGCAGACAACCCUUGCGAUAAACAACAGAGAGCAAGAAAAUUGGAUGCAGUAAGUUGUCAGCAUUUUUACUUAUUUGGAAAUUGUGGCUGCAGAGAAGAAGAAACAGAUUGUUGCAGAGCAAGUGAUGACAGACCACUUAUCUAGGGCUGUAAUCAGUGAUCCAGAACAAAAUUUGGCCAUUGAGCAAAAAGAAAGUGAUCAUAUCCUUCCAGAUUCAAAGAUGACACCUCUUCGAUUUAGAAAAAGAACACUACAUGAAACAAAGAUAAGAACUCAUUCUACAUUAACUGAAAAUGUGCUUUCUCAUAAAUUACAAUUUGAUGGUAGGAUCAUAUCACGAACAAAUGUGCUUCCUUUUAUUCAAAAAAGCAUUUAUAGUCAUCAGUGUGGACGAAGAAAAGGAAAACAAUACCGACUUGGUGAUUUUUAUGUUGGUGCAACCUUGACAUUUUUGAAUUCUGAUCAUCUCAGCCUUCCAGAAAGCAUCAAAGAAAACACAUUGCUUAAACUCCGAAUCACAAAUAUUGAUCAAAUAGCUUUGGAUUCUCUCAAAACAGCUUCUAUGGAACAGGAGGAUGAUAUAAUCAUUCAAGAAACCAAUGAUAGGCUGGUCUUCAAGGCAAUCCAAGAUGUGCUAAAAGAAAAACUACAUAAAAGAGGUGUUCGUAUUUUGACUGGAUUGGGAAAAUACUUUCAACAGUUGGACAAGGAAGGAAAUGGACUUUUAGAUAAGGCAGAUUUUAAGCAAGCUCUAAAAGUGUUUCACUUACAAGUGUCUGAAAAGGAUUUUGAGUCUGCAUGGCUAAUUCUGAAUGACAAUGGCAAUGGCAAGGUUGAUUAUGGAGAAUUCAAACGUGGUAUUAUUGGUGAAAUGAAUGAAUACAGGAAAUCAUAUGUUCGAAAGGCCUUUAUGAAACUGGAUGUCAAUAAAAGUGGCAGUGUGCCUAUUAUAAACAUAAGAAAAUGUUACUGUGCAAAGAAGCAUUCUCAAGUAAUUUCAGGUUGACCAGCAAGGACAAACAUGAAAGUGCUUAAAAAAAAGAAAGUGCUUAAAAAAAAAGAAAUAGAAGGUAAUGCAUGUAUAAAAUAAGCCAAGCAAGAGAAGAGCAAAGAGAAUCUGCAGGGUGGACAUGGAUGUAUUCGUUUCUGAUCAUGAGAAGAAGCUCUUGUCAUAUCCUUCCAUUUUUAUUUUAAAGUUCUAUAAACUUCUGAGGUAAACUGAUUUCUUGGAUGUACUUAAUAAAGAAUAAAUGCUUCAUAUUGGA
rnacentral:sRNA from 1 species